rnacentral:rRNA from 1 species
CCCUUAGAUGUUCUGGGCUGCACGCGCGCUACACUGAAGCGUUCAACGAGUAUUCACCUUGCCCGGGAGGGUUGGGUAAUCUUUUGAAAACGCUUCGUGAUGGGGAUAGACCUUUGCAAUUAUGGGUCUUCAACGAGGAAUUCCUAGUAAACGCAAGUCAUCAGCUUGCAUUGAUUACGUCCCUGCCCUUUGUACACACCGCCCGUCGCACCUACCGAUUGAAUGGUCCGGUGAAAUCUCGGGACGGCGGCUUGGUCGCUUGCGUCCGACUGCUGAAACUUGAUUAAACCAUAUCAUUUAGAGGAAGGUGAAGUCGUAACA